rnacentral:lncRNA from 1 species
CGGAAGUAAUCUAACACGGAUUUGGUUCAUGCAUUUCAUCGAAUAGGUGGUGGGCCAAUCGGUUAUACACCAAUUUCAGGCAAUGAUUCAUGAUAAACUACUAGGGCUAACAUUCCUGGGAACUUGAAUCAUCAACCCAUUCACAAAGUUAACACCAAACAUAGCAGAUUUUCAGACACCACAGGUUUGGGUUUUCUUCCAAAAGUGACCGAGAGCAGGGCAGGGGAACCAAAGGCAUUGAUGAAGGAUCGAAUAUGAGAUAACAAUCUGCGAACUUCUCGGGUGCGAAACAGAGGUGCGGCCCCGGAAUGGCAAGGACUGGCGGCUGUGGUGACUAAUGGCGGAGGGGGGCGAUGGAGAAGCUCUCUGAAGUGAUGACGCGAGUCUCAAUCGGCAGAAUACGCGACUAUGACUCCCGACUCCUCACGGUCCGAAAUCCGAGAACAGAGGCAAUAACUUGCGGUGACGGAGAUGAAGUCCGAUGACUGAUGAGCGACGAUGAAUGGCAUAGACACGGUGUUUAGAAACCAAAAGAGAAGGAAAGAGUAAAAGAGAGACCUCUGUUUCUCAAUUUUAGUGUGCCGCUUGCCUCCUCUCCACCGGCGGAGAAAGAUCAGACCAUAAGGUGAGAUUUUUUUUUUUCUUUUUUUUUUAACAGGGGAUGGCCUUGGAUUCAUGGUGUCUGGUCUAAGGUUAAACUCACCAAAGUCGGGAUUUUAAUGCUU